CCCCCCCCCCCCCCCCUCUGUCUCUCAACAACAGUUAAACACACUGACGUAUUUUCAAGCUAUAAUUUAAUCUUGAAAACUUUUUUUAUACAACUUGGCACGGAGUCCCAAAAAAGUAGUGAUGCUCUUAUUGUGAAGGGCAACCCCCUUCCUGUUAGCUGAGCGAGGGGGGAGGAGUCGCAUCAUUGAUCACUUUGUACCCUAAACUCACAAAGCCGCCAAAGGUCAGGAGGUCGUACGUGAUGACGAUGUCACAAUGACGGUAACCUGAGAGUUUAGAACCCUUCAGGAAUUAUUUGCACCAACACACAGGAAACCACAUCCAGAUGUUUAUAGGUGCUUUAUACAUAUAGAAUUCAUUGUGUCCACACAAAGCACUUUGCAUUAAUCGCGUUAAGAUGUGUGCUGUAGACGUAUUUCAACACAUGCAGAGUUUCAGAGAGUCACAUUUAAUUUGUUAAAACAAGGAAAUAAAGAAUUAUCCAUCAAUGUUGACGCAAAUACUUUUUUUCCAUGACAUUAUCCCACUGGACAUAUUUAGAUUUUUUUCAAAACAUUUUUUUAAAUAUUAUUGUUUAAGGUUUUUUAUUCAUGACAUUUUUCAAUCUAAUAUUGGGUUACUUUCUUUUCCACGACAUUAUUUGACCAAAUUCGGACUUUUUCACAUAUUCUUAUAUAUAUAUAUAUAUAUAUAUAUCCUGGUUUUGGUUCUCUCGGGCCUCCCUUCCCUCUAGCGGGUCCAGCAAUGCAUUGUGGGUCUCCAGCAGCGUGCCACUCUGCUACGUUACUAUUACGUCUGCUGUCUCAGGACAUCUAGGCUGCUAGUUUGUACGUUUUUUGUAUUUUUACCUCGUUGCCAUUGCUGAAGAAAUGCUUCUUUCUUGUGCUUGAGGGUCCGAACCCAUGAUGGAAGCUAAAUGUCGGUGCUUUAGGAUAAUUACUCCCUGCCACAUAAUAACGGCACUUCAUUCUGCUCCGUGAGAUGGAAUCUCACAGAGCAGAAUGAGAGCGAGGAAGAUCCGUCUCGCUGGUUAGAGACAUAUUCCUUUAUUCAGCAGCGUAAGUACGAAGACGAAUAAAACAUAUACAAUAGGAAGGUCAAAUAAAUAUACCAUAUACAUAUAUGUAGAUACUGUACAUAUUUACUCAACCAAAACACAGAUGUAUCCAUACAUGCUUUCAAUACGCACUCAUGUGUCUGACGACUGUCAUAACCCCCCCGCCCCGUUCUAACCGCUCUAUCUGUUCAUCGUGUGUGUGUCCGGGGGGGAAGCUUAACCACUAAACCAACUGGGCCUCCGUGAGGGACAAAGGGGGGGGGGGGGGUGCAGAGGGACUUACCUCAUGCUCCAUGACCAACGCACCCCUGGCUUCAUCGGAUGCUUCUCUCGCCCACUCCCCCCUCUCCCCCCCCAGGCACAUUCAAGUGACCGGCUUCCUCCCCAAGGAGACUUCCCUUUGUUUUAGACCCCAAUUCUCUUGUUUUAACACUUUGUUAAGUUGUGGUCUGAUCUCCGUGAGCCAAACACCUGCUUACAGGUAAGCGGUUUUAUUCCAUCUGUGUCUUCGUAUUAUGCCCGUCUACACCCGGCGGCAACCUCCACCUCUUUAAAAUGAGGCCAAAGCUUAAUGUGUUAACGCUGCAUUCUCUCUCCUGACCAGCAGGGGGCGACUCCUCUGGUCCCAUAGACGUCUAUGAGACAAUGACUCUACUUAUUCCCUCAGUAAACAUUGUUGGUCUCGAUCUCUAGUUUCAAGUCUUAUUCAAUACAACAUGAUGUUCAUUUACUAAAUUAUGGUCCAUUCAGAGUCAAACAGACCAUAAACCGAGUGCGAAAAGUGGUCGGCAGAAGGUUCCUUGUCAGAACGGCGGUGGUAGUUUGCGGUGGUUGGUGGUAGUUUGGGGUGGUCGGUGGUAGUUUGGGGUGGUCGGUGGUAGUUUGCGGUGGUCGGUGGUAGUUUGCGGUGUGGUCGGUGGUAGUUUGCGGUGGUCGUUUGCGGUGUGGUCGGUGGUAAUUUGCGGUGGUUGGUGGUAGUUUGCGGUGUGGUCGGUGGUAGUUUGCGGUGGUCGGUGGUAGUUUGCGGUGGCGGUGUGGUCGGACCAGCGGACAGAGAGCACCGGCAGACUGACUACUACCCCCCCGCCCCGGUCCGGCCAAACCGUUUGCUCGACUGCCAGCCGUCACUGGGUUCGAUUUAUUUAUUUCAAAACAUAUAUUCCACUGCUGUUUUAGUGUUGCUGCGCCUCUCUGAUUAUCGGCAUGGUCCUAUAAUUUUAGAGGGAGGUGCCUCCAGAUUUAGCG
ensembl:lncRNA